UGGGGAAUCUUGCGCUAAUGCGGGAAACCGUGACGCAGCGACGCCGCGUGAGGGAAGAAGGCCUUCGGGUUGUAAACCUCUUUCAGGAGGGACGAAGCUACUCGGGUUAAUAGCCCAGAGGGUGACGGUACCUCCAGAAGAAGCCCCGGCUAACUACGUGCCAGCAGCCGCGGUAAUACGUAGGGGGCAAGCGUUGUCCGGAUUUAUUGGGCGUAAAGAGCGUGUAGGCGGCCUUACAGGUCCGUUGUGAAAACUCGAGGCUCAACCUCGAGACGCCGGUGGAAACCGUAAGGCUAGAGUCCGGAAGAGGAGAGUGGAAUUCCUGGUGUAGCGGUGAAAUGCACAGAUAUCAGGAGGAACACCCGUGGCGAAAGCGGCUCUCUGGGACGGUACUGACGCUGAGACGCGAAAGCGUGGGGAGCAAAC
rnacentral:rRNA from 1 species